GAUGAAGAACGCAGCGAAAUGCGAUACUUGGUGUGAAUUGCAGAAUCCCGUGAACCAUCGAGUCUUUGAACGCAAGUUGCGCCUCAAGCCAUUAGGUUGAGGGCACGUCUGCCUGGGCGUCACAUAUCGUUGCCUGAUGCCAGUUUCCUCGUGAUGGGUGACUGUGCAGGGCGAAUGAUGGCUUCCCGUGAGCAUUGUUGCCUCAUGGUUGGUUGAAAAUUGAGUCCCUGGUAGGGAGCGCCGUGAUAGAUGGUGGUUGAGUGACGAACGAGACCCAAUCAUGUGAGACCCCUACCGAAUUUGGCCUUCAUGACCCACAUGCGUCUUUGGAACGCUCAUGACGAGACCUCAGGUCAGGCGGGGCUACCCGCUGAGUUUAAGCAUAUCAAUAAGCGGAGGA
rnacentral:misc_RNA from 1 species